rnacentral:miRNA from 2 species
UGCACGACGCAGUUGUAUCACGG